AGCUUUUCUACAGCUGGGAUUUUGACUUGAAAACAUCUUUUAUUAGGUUUUUGUGAGUUUAAGUUAUUUUUUAUCCUCAUGGAUGAAGCUCCUCGUGACCAAAAUGUUCAAAAGUUUUCAAGAGAUUUUCAGGAACAGUGGAAACAGGUCAGAACCUCUCCUCUGCAUCACUCUGUAACAGCAAAAGUGUCAUGGUGCCCAGAUCAGUUCCCCUCCCCUCCUCCAGCUGCUCCUCUCCUAACACUCAACCUCAUCAAACCCUGCUGUUAAAAGGAGACCUCAUCCACCAGUUCAUCGCCAGAUCGUUACCCCUUAUGGAAACCAUUGCCACGAGUGACGUCAGUGGAACUCAGGACCCGUCCAGAGAUCCUCUGGACAACCUCAACCACGCCGACCGCGUUCGUACCUCCAGCCACGCCAUCAGCCACAGCCACCUCUGGAUCACCCUCGGACCACCGGACCUCCUUGGAAAAAAUAAUAAAUAACUUUCUUACCUGUCA